UGAUUUGGUGAAAAUGGGACAGUGAAGACGUUCUGAAAAAAAAAAAAGGCAUAUCAUGAGGUUUGGACAUUGAGAGGUAUAGGCUGGCUGUAGGAGUCGGGUUUAUACUGUGAUGCACAGUGACACGUACCUCUCUCUGUUCAGCAAGGUGCAUUCCGGCUAUUCAUUUAACAGCUGGAAACUUCUAUACCUGUGGCAAAGAUGAUCUGCGGUGGAGGGUUUAUUCCUGGCCCCUGGCCUGCCUGGCCUUGGUCUUUUUAGUGCUUGCCGGAUCCCUAGUUCCUUUCCGGUUCCAGUAGUGAGAGGAAUAAACACUUAUAACUCCAAUCCAAUACACUCUCAAUGUCAACGCCCUCCCUAUCUUUAAAAGAAGAAAAAAAUUCUAAAUCAUCUUUGUUUAAAGAC
rnacentral:sRNA from 1 species